CGGACGAAUUCUAAUUGCUUUUGAAUUCAAUGAAAGGAAGUAAUCGGUUAAAACGGGAAUAGAGAAAGGUAAUUGCGUUAAUUUAGUGGGCAUUCGAGGUUUAAAAAAUAGUUUUGAAGUUAUUCUGAACUUAUUUAAACGCAUUUCGCAUUGCACUUCUCUGUAUUUCGGUACAUAAACUCUUCCAUAAAGCCUUAAAAUAGUAAAGUUAUAGUUAAGAAAUAGUAAAAGUAGUAAAUGUGAAAGAUAUACUUAAAGAUAAAUGUAUGUUCUAUUUGAGAACAGAUUUGCUAAUAGUAAACGAAGAAAAGGGGUUUUGUAUUUUGUAGCUUUAAAAUGGUAAUUAUUAAUCAGUUGUCUGUUAAAAGCUAUCGAAUAGUUAAAAAUAUCUUAAGGUAGGUUAAAAUUUAAGCAUUUCGUGGAAUGGAGAAGAAAUAUUAUUAAUCUAAGGAUAUUUCGUGCAAGUUGCUUUUAAGCGAUGUGAAUGUUGCAAUUAUGUAGAUUUUACAUGGUAUGGCCUAAUGACAGAAGAAAGAAUCGUGGCAAUGAUUUUCUUGUGUCCUUUUCUACAAAUCAAAGUCGCAUUAUUUCCGCUCAUAAGUUUUAGGUUUAAAGAUCUCCAAGGCUUCUAUAUUUAAACUGUCUCAACAAUAACAAGAAAGUUUCUGUUGGAUUCAUUAGCUUUUACUCAUUCAAGUAAAAUUCAACAUCAGAAAUCCUCAAUGAAGCAAAUACGCCUGUAGUUGUUACUGAUGCAGUUCACUCCAGAGACAAUGCUGUUUACUGGAACAAUGGCUCCACGUUAUUCUCCAUAUGAAGAGUAGCCUUUUUGAUAAAAAUAGUAGCCGAUAGAGCUAUCUGGAUGGCCAAGAAAAUCUUUUCAAUUUAGUUCAGAAUUCAUAUAGGUUGGGCCACUCGUGAUCGAUGCUAUUUUUCGCGAUAAAAAUCCAUCAACCAUCAGUAGUCCUGAUUUCUUAGCUUCGGGUGUAUGCCAUACUUCUACAUUAGUAAUGCUGGAUGUGAGGAAGUACUCUGAAGAUGGUACCGAGAAUUAAUUGUAUUAGAAGUUCAAGGACACGAUGUUGACAUGUUUGACCAAAGUGAUCGCGGUUCUACAGAUACCUGGAGCUUUCAACAAAAAUAUAUUUGAAUUCUGAAUCGGAAGAGUCAGAUAGAACGUUAUAUAAAGGAGGCAAAAUAUUAGACAAUUGACGCAACGGCAGAGCAUUGUCCAAAGAACACAUUUGACACCAUCUAUUGAGAAAAUGGCACAACGGCACUCCCAUUUUCCAAGGCUCUCUCGGCUUCAGUCACAAAUUCUCUAUAUAUCGAAGAUAUGUGAAUGGCCAGGAGGAUGGUAAAUUGGAAAAACAUGACGUCUACUAUCAGUAGUAAAAUGCCUUUCUUUGUUCCAUACACAUGCCAUCAGUAGAUACUAAUUUUGCUUGAUGUGGAGAGGAUACUCCUUUUAUGACAUCGAAAUAUUCAAGAACAUGAUAUUAACAUGCUUUGACCAAAGUGAUAAUAGCACAACAGAUAACAUCCGGAACCUUCAUGAAGCGCUUAUUGGAAGUUGGA